CAUGCAUUCUCUCAGGUGUCUCGAUUUGGUUCUCGCACAAAUAAUGGUUAUAUGGUACAUUUAGAAUCCAGGUAGAAAAUCCUUGGUGGAAUUAUAAGUCUGUAGUGGACGGGUUGAGUAACGUCCAUAUAGUUGUGCACAAGUGUUGCUGUACUACCUCUGAUUAGUUGGUCGCGCUACUAGUAGUAUUAUGGCUACUAGUAGGGUUACAACUUCAAUUCAUUUGUUGUCAAGAUGUGAACCUUGGGUACCGUUAUUUACUUUCAAUUUAAACUAAGCUAUGUUGGUCUUAUUAUUUUUCUCUGUUAAAUGGGAGUUCUGGAACUUUU
rnacentral:lncRNA from 1 species